rnacentral:rRNA from 1 species
GAUGAACGCUGACAGAAUGCUUAACACAUGCAAGUCUACCAAGAAUCACUUCGGUGAGGAAUGGUGGCGGACGGGUGAGUAACGCGUAAAUAAUCUGCCCUUUAGACUGGGAUAUCCUUUGGAAACGAAGGUUAAUACCGGAUAUUAUGAGAUGGACGCAUGUUCAACUUAUGAAAGCUAAAUGCACUAGAGGAGGAGUUUGCGUCCCAUUAGCUAGUUGGUGAGGUAAAGGCUCACCAAGGCCACGAUGGGUAGCCGGCCUGAGAGGGUGAACGGCCACAAGGGAACUUAGACACGGUCCUUACUCCUACGGGAGGCAGCAGUGGGGAAUAUUGGACAAUGGACCAAAAGUCUGAUCCAGCAAUUCUGUGUGCACGAUGAAGGUCUUCGGAUUGUAAAGUGCUUUCAGUAGGGAAGAAAAAAAUGACGGUACCUACAGAAGAAGCGACGGCUAAAUAUGUGCCAGCCGCCGCAGUAAAAC